GAGAACUCACCGCAAGAAGUACUCUCAUUUUCCAUGCUUCGCUGGACGGAGACAAGGUCUUCCAAAGGUUCGCGAAGAUGCAUGCUAAUGAUACAAGGGGAAGAGCGUGUGCUGUUGGCAGAACGAGACCGCCGAUCGGCACGGUGAAACGGAGAAGACGACUGGGGAACGAGGUUGUUCGAACAGUAGAGAAAGAUCGAUCGAUGAAUAGCUAAUUGCUAGUACUACGAUCGUCGUACGCGAGUGCAACUGAUCUGUGACUGAGGCGGCGAGUUCGACUGAGCGUAGAAUUGAACCAUUAGGCCGGCGUUUUGUUCCGUCUAUACUCUGCACUUGUCUCUUUGAAUGUCUUUUCACUUGCAGGCGACGUACGCAGCCAGACAGAGAGCAAACACCGAAUCUAAGGGAACGGAGACAACGUUGAAAGCCACGCAAAACAUCAUUAGUAGAGCGGUGACGGAAUCGAGUUACGGAAUCCGUAUUUUUUAUUGUUGGACAUACUCGCGUCUAAGAGGUUCACAGGUCGAGGUUUUGUCACGGCUCGAAAAUCGACAUACCCACGUCGCAGAUGGCAAUCUCGAGACCUCGCGUGCCGAGCGUUCCAAUUUUACUUUUCCCGCGGCUCGCUGUCUCCUCGUUUCGUCCAUUCGCUCCCAUUCGCUGUACCUCGCGACACGAUCCAACCGUAAACGAACGAACGCUCGGGUGAGAGUAUCACAUCGUCGCAGGAUGCAAUUUCACGUGGCAAGUGAUCGAGAUUUAUAGACGAGUACGACUGUGAAACUGCAAGAGAUAAUGGGACAGGAGGCGGGAACAAGAAACCGUAGCAAGAAUGUCCUUUUUCGAGAAGUAUGUUGCUUUUCUGUUAUGAGAUCGGAGGAG